GAGUUUGAUCUUGGCUCAGAUUGAACGCUGGCGGCAUGCCUUACACAUGCAAGUCGAACGGCAGCACGGGAGCUUGCUCCUGGUGGCGAGUGGCGAACGGGUGAGUAAUGCAUCGGAACGUAUCCUGGAGUGGGGGAUAACGUAGCGAAAGUUACGCUAAUACCGCAUAUUCUGUGAGCAGGAAAGCGGGGGACCUUCGGGCCUCGCGCUCUUGGAGCGGCCGAUGUCGGAUUAGCUAGUUGGUGAGGUAAAGGCUCACCAAGGCGACGAUCCGUAGCAGGUCUGAGAGGAUGAUCUGCCACACUGGAACUGAGACACGGUCCAGACUCCUACGGGAGGCAGCAGUGGGAAUUUUGGACAAUGGGGCGAACCCUGAUCCAGCCAUGCCGCGUGAGUGAAGAAGGCCU
rnacentral:rRNA from 1 species